CCCUUAGAUGUUCUGGGCCGCACGCGCGCUACACUGAUGCAUUCAACGAGUCUAAAACCUGCUCUGAUAGGGGUGGGUAAUCUUUUGAAUGUGCAUCGUGAUUGGGAUAGAUGAUUGCAAUUUUUCAUCUUCAACGAGGAAUGCCUAGUAAACGCAAGUCAUCAGCUUGCAUUGAUUACGCCCCUGCCCUUUGUACACACCGCCCGUCGCUCCUACCGAUUGAAUGAUCCGAUGAAUAUCAUGGAUUGAGGAUUAUAGCAGGUUCGCCUGUCUUGAUCUUCGAGAAGUGAAGUAAAUCUUAUCAUUUAGAGGAAGGAGAAGUCGUAACA
rnacentral:rRNA from 1 species